AGAGUUUGAUCCUGGCUCAGGAUGAACGCUGGCGGCGUGCCUAACACAUGCAAGUCGAGCGGUAUAUACUUAAACAAAACUUCGGUCUAGUGAGAGUAUAGAGAGCGGCGGACGGGUGAGUAACGCGUAGGCAACCUGCCCCAUACAGAGGGAUAGCCUCGGGAAACCGGGAUUAAAACCUCAUAACGCGAGAGAAUUUCAUGAUUCUUUCGCCAAAGAUUUAUCGGUAUGGGAUGGGCCUGCGUCUGAUUAGCUAGUUGGUAAGGUAACGGCUUACCAAGGCGACGAUCAGUAGCCGACCUGAGAGGGUAAUCGGCCACAUUGGAACUGAGACACGGUCCAAACUCCUACGGGAGGCAGCAGUGGGGAAUAUUGCACAAUGGGCGAAAGCCUGAUGCAGCAACGCCGCGUGAGCGAUGAAGGCCUUUGGGUCGUAAAGCUCUGUCCUUGGGGAAGAAAAAAAUCGGUACCUUAGGAGGAAGCCCCGGCUAACUACGUGCCAGCAGCCGCGGUAAUACGUAGGGGGCAAGCGUUAUCCGGAAUCACUGGGCGUAAAGGGUGCGUAGGCGGCCAAUAAAGUCCGGGGUGAAAGGCUACGGCUCAACCGUAGUAAGCCUUGGAAACUUAUUGGCUUGAGUGCAGGAGAGGUAAGUGGAAUUCCUAGUGUAGCGGUGAAAUGCGUAGAUAUUAGGAGGAGCACCAGUGGCGAAGGCGACUUACUGGACUGUAACUGACGCUGAGGCACGAAAGCGUGGGGAGCAAACAGGAUUAGAUACCCUGGUAGUCCACGCUGUAAACGAUGAAUACUAGGUGUCGGGGUCCAAAAUAGUCAGUGCCGAAGUUAACACAAUUAGCACUCCGCCUGGGGAGUACGGUCGCAAGACUGAAACUCAAAGGAAUUGACGGGGACCCGCACAAGCAGCGGAGCAUGUGGUUUAAUUCGAAGCAACGCGAAGAACCUUACCAGGACUUGACAUCCUCCGCAUUACCAGUAACGUGGGAAAUCCCUUCGGGGACGGAGAGACAGGUGGUGCAUGGUUGUCGUCAGCUCGUGUCGUGAGAUGUUGGGUUAAGUCCCGCAACGAGCGCAACCCUUGUCAUUAGUUGCCGGCAGUUCGGCUGGGCACUCUAGUGAGACUGCCGGGGAUAACUCGGAGGAAGGUGGGGAUGACGUCAAAUCAUCAUGCCCCUUAUGUUCUGGGCUACACACGUGCUACAAUGGCCGGUACAACGGGCAGCGAAGGAGUGAGGUGGAGCAAAUCUCAAAAACCAGUCCCAGUUCGGAUUGUAGGCUGCAACUCGCCUACAUGAAGUUGGAGUUGCUAGUAAUCGCGAAUCAGAAUGUCGCGGUGAAUGCGUUCCCGGGUCUUGUACACACCGCCCGUCACACCAUGGAAGUUGG
rnacentral:rRNA from 1 species